rnacentral:tRNA from 1 species
GGGUGAUUAGCUCAGCUGGGAGAGCACCUCCCUUACAAGGAGGGGGGUCGGCGGCUCGAUCCCGUCAUCACCCACCA